UGAGGAAGCAGAAGCACGCCGCCUGGCUGAGGAAGCACACCGUCUGGCUGAGG
rnacentral:snoRNA from 1 species